CAGUAGCCGCGGUAAUACAGAGGGUGCGAGCGUUAAUCUGAUUUACUGGGCGUAAAGCGUGCGUAGGCGGCUUUUUAAGUCGGAUGUGAAAUCCCUGAGCUUAACUUAGGAAUUGCAGUCGAUACUGGGAAGCUAGAGUAUGGGAGAGGAUGGUAGAAUUCCAGGUGUAGCGGUGAAAUGCGUAGAGAUCUGGAGGAAUACCGAUGGCGAAGGCAGCUAUCUGGCCUAAUACUGACGCUGAGGUACGAAAGCAUGGGGAGCAAACAGGAUUAGAUACCCCAGUAGUCCCUGUCUCUUAUAC
rnacentral:rRNA from 1 species